rnacentral:lncRNA from 1 species
AGCCAGAGAAAACGCGGUGAGAUGUCCAAUUCUGCCCAUGCCCGGAGCUUAGCUCCUGUCCCCCUUGCUCCCGGCGGACAGCGGCCUUUCAUCCCACCGGGGACAGGGCUGCAGGGGGCCGGCCCCCCACCCCCAGCAGGGCCGGUGCGCCAGGGGCGCUAUGCACUGGAGAGACCUCGGCCGCAGGGCUGGCAGAUACUUUGAAAAGGCGGUGUCACAUCACCCUGUCUUCUAAAGGUGAUUGGAGACUGUUAACACUGAGCUUUUUAAAGGUUUUGUUUUCACAGUUGACCUGAUGGAAACCAGAGGUGGGGAGCCUUCCCCACUCCGUCACCUCCCUUCUGAGCAGAAUCAGGCUGAGUGUUGGGACAGUCCUCCUGGUCACCACCGGGGAGGAUGCACUCCAGAUCCAGCACAUGUGGCCCCAGGUCGGAUCGGGCGGGACCAGGAAUCCACGGUGUUGGGUGACCGCCUGCCAGGGGAGAGGUUUGCUGAGCCUCUGGAGGUGUAGCUUUGUUGCUGCAGCAGCGUCCAGAGCCAGCCCCACUCCCACUGGAGAGACGAAAGGCAGCAGCUCCAGGCCUUGGGUCCCUCCCACAGGUGCCCGGUGAAGGCCGAGUUCUGAGUCCAGGCCGCGGGAUGGUGUAUUUCUCAGCUCAGGCCCCGGUGCUGUGUCUUCUGUUGCCGACACACGUGUCCUGGUGCCGCCUGGCAAGUAGAGUCUGGGUCCUGGGCCCUCCUUGUGUGUCCAGCCGUCCCUCUGGGGGGUUCCAGGGGCUUCUGGGGUGCCUGCACCACUGCAGCACAGUGGCCGUGUGAUAGGUGCCCCUCUCAUGGUCCUGUGACAGCCCUGGAACAGGUGAGCAGACGCUGGGGAAAGGCUUACCUGCUCAGGGGAGACCACUGACAGGAUUUUUAACCCCAAAGAAGUGACCCUGGUCAUCAGCUCCUUGGUGACAGUGUGCUGGACGCACAGCCCUGUCUGAGCCACAGCCCCCCGCUGAGAAGCAGAGUCAGACUGAAGAGAUGGUCUCUGUAUGAACUGCUCAGUAAUGACUUGAAUCAGCGACAUGAGUAGUACUUGCUUGUAAAGGUGCCGCAGGCGUGACCGCCUGCCAGGGCAGUUUGGAAUCUCCGCCUUGUUUGCCCGGUCACCCCCCACCCCUGUGUGCGCCGUGGCACGUGCUCUUUUUCACUCUAACUCAGCCGCUGAGCACCGAUGUCCACCUGCAGAAGAGUGGUGCAUGCAGUCACGUGCAGGUCAGGCGCUGUCUCCAAGCUGUCCACACCCAUGUGACCCCUGUUCGUGUCAGAUUUGAAGAACAAGUCCCUCUCUGCAUGUUGCUUUGUCUCUGCCUGAGACACCUAGAGACAAGCCACAUAGAGUCUUCGGAGCCCGACUGACUUUCAGCUGAGCUGACCCUUGUGUACCAUGUGCUGUGAGUUUCUCACCACAGCUGCAUGCAGCCCUGGCACGCACCGUGGCAGGCAGUGGUACCUUGUGGUUUCCCCUGGCAGUGUAACCAGGCUUAGGGGUUAAAACCGUCAGCCCAACGUGCCCACCUGCUUCCCUCUGAAGACGGCAUGUCCCCCCUCUACGUGCCUGCCCCUCUCUAGCAAGUUAGCUCCUGGGCAAAGGCAAGCCUCUCCCCAGUGCCCUUGGGGCCAGCCACACCCCUGACACCCCCGGACUUGUCCUGGGCCGUGAGUGGUGCUGCAGGCAGGCAGACUUUCCUGUGGGUUCCGCAUCCUUGCAUGUCAGGGUCAGGACGCACAUAAGCUGGGACCUUUUUGGGGUAGGUGAUGUCACACUACAUUCUGCUUGAUGCAGGGGUGGACAUGCAUGAACUGAGUUCACCCCCAGCACUGGCCACUAGCUGACUCAGUGCAAUGGAGGCAUUCCUACAAAUGCCCCGGAAGGAAAUAAGAGCCCUCGGGGGAACCCAGGAACUCAGGGCAGUUGAUUCCGGUCAGGCUGGCGGCAGCCGCACCCUCCUUUCAAAGACAAUUGAAAUGCUUUAAAAUCUGAAGCUUUGUGAUGACAAGUUCACUGGGAGUUUUCUUUUCCUAUAAACUUUUCAGUUUCUUAACUUUUUGUUUGCAAAAGUAUUUUGGACAGAAGUGGAACUGUGAAUGAGAUACUGAAAUGCACUAAAUUGUGUUAACUGGAGUUACUUGAUGCCAUGAAGAAAUGCAUCUGAUCUCGUAUUUAUUGUCUCAGAAUUGUACGUGGUGACAAUCAAAUGUUCCUUGCCUACAUACCAGGAAAUUCAACUGGCUUCUGAAUCAUAACGAUCGUCAGCAAGUACUGUAACUGUAAAUGAAAAUCUCUCUCUUUGGAAAACAACACAAACCAUCGACCGAAAUGUGAGGGACAGAUGUCGGCAUUCUUUUUCCAAUAUUGAUCCUCUGCCGUACCUGACCGUUGGCCAGCUUCAAAGGGUGAU